AUCGCUUCUCGGCCUUUCGGCUAAGAUCAGGUGUCGUAUCUGUUCUUAUCAGUUUAAUCUGAUACGUUGCCUAUCUAGGGACCAUAUAUUAAAUAGAUUUUUGAGAACGGGGGCCGAUUCAAAGCUUUCUUCUGUCACAAUGUGCAUUGACCCGAUAUGGCAUGAUCUUACAGUGCAUCUCCC